UAAAAGCAUGCAAAAUGNAUUUCAGGUUCAC
rnacentral:piRNA from 1 species